rnacentral:tRNA from 1 species
GGCAAGGUGGCCGAGUGGUCUAAGGCGCACGGUUCAGGCCAUACUGAACCUUGUUCAUCUUACGCGGGCAUGUUCCCAAACAGAUGGAUAUCCGUGUCUCGAAAGGGGCGUGGGUUCGAAUCCCACCCUUGUCA